CCUUCGUUUCAAUUUCCCAAACAUUAACCCCAAACCUCCAGAGAAUCAAAGUUCAGAGUGAAGCUGCUUCUUCUUCUCCAACGCUUGAGAGUACAGACCAGAGAAGGAGUUACCGUCACGGAGAGAGGCAGAGAGAGCUUCUUCUUCUCCGACGACUGAGAAAACCCACCGUCUUUCGUCGGAGAGCAGAGCUUCUUCUUCUUCUUCUCCUCCUCCGCCGAGUCCGCCGCCGUGCCAUCCUCUUCAUCAUAAUCAAUCGCUUUGUCUCUCUGUGCCGUUGUUGCUGCUGCCUUCAAUUGACCGUGCUCAAUCAAAAUCAGUUACUCUCUCUCUCUUUCGUUCUUCAAUUGAUUUUUUUCAUCAAUAAAAAAUUUGCUCAGCAUUUGUAGAUGAUUCACUACUGUUCUCAAUGAUAUAGGUCUUCAAUUCAAAGAUUGAUGAAGGAAGAAAGGCAUUGCAGGUGUUAUCACUACUUUUGUUCAUUUUUCUGUGUUAUCCUGCAAUUUUGUAUUCUUUCUUCAUGACUGACAUGGAUUUAUAGGAUUCUUCUCUAUUUUCGGUGUUAGUUCUCUAAUUUUUUAUUUAGAUUCAAUAUGCGGAUCAACUAUAUGUAAUCUUGUUUUAUGCUGAAGAAAUCUAUAAAGAACUUCAGUGUCUUGCAAUGCUUUUUACUAGGGACAUUAGAGACACUUUAAGCUUCUGCAUAAAGGACAUAUGAGUUAUAUAAAAAGUUUACUGGUCAUUUCUGAUGCCAUUGUGUUGUAAAUUUAGUGUCACUAUUUAUAGGCUGGCAAGUACAAGUAGCAAACUUACAAAGAAAUGUAUGUAUGAGGUGAUACAGAAAGUUGGAAGCUCUAUCCGCAGUUGUGGUUACGGGCAAGGAAGAAUCAUCUCUUGUAGUCUGAGAUUAAUCAAUAUGAUGCCAAUUUUCAAGGAGUGAAAUGCGGUAUCUAUGGUGCCAAUUGCCCUGGGUGGAUAAUAAGCAUGGAGGGAUGAGCAUAAUGCCGAUCCAGUUGUUGCUGUAGAAUUUCUAGCUAAGUAUUGCAAAAGGGCUGUGGUAACUUUGGGCCAUAAUGGAUGCAUUGCUAAACAUGGCAAGGAGUUGACUCUGCUGUGAACUGUUUGCUGUUGUGCAUUGAUCACUUGGAGAACAUGACUAACUAUACAAUCAUGCAAAUCUUGAACAUGGGUUUUAAUUGGGACACUAGUGACAUGAGUAUUUUGAUGCUUGCCAAGCUUGCCAAGCCAUUGAUGGGAACUACCCGAAUUAUGAUUAACAGUCUUCAUAUCAAGGGUGAUCUCCUCAUUACACCAAUUCUAGAUGGAAAAGCUCUUAUGUAUUCAUUUUCAUCAAAACCUGAGGUGAGAAUUGAAAUUGCGUUUGGAAGUGGCGGAACAGAGGUGCCUGGUGUUUCUUCUUGGCUGGUGCGUCUUGGAGGAUUUAUUUUUGAAAAAGCUCAUGUUUAUCAUUUCUGGCAUAAUUCAAUCCAUUUUGAAAUAAUUAAAUCAAGAUGAUUCUAUAUUCAUUUUUGGCAUAAUUAUUUAGAUGAGUAUGAGUAGAUGAGUAUGAGUAGGUUAUUUACUUUAAUUUGAAUAUUUUGUAUUAUUAGUGGAUUGCAAUUUAAACAAAUAUAAGUCUAAGUUUAGUUAUUUAUCUUGUCUUAAGUCUUUAUGUUAGAGGAUUAUUUAUUAUUUUGAUAAGUUUGUAAAUUCAUUAUCUAAUAUUUAGUAUAAAUUUUAUUUUUAUA